GUCAAUUCCCAAGUAUAGCCUUGCAGGCCGGAAACCGGAUGUGCGCGUCCUUGGUGGAAUCGAGUUCUCAAAGGUUUCUGUAACUCCAAAGUCCAACCCCAAGUAGAAGCAGCACUUUUACUACGGAGCCAAGGCUCCCACUUGGUUCCAAUUGCAGCAAUGGAGGACUUGAAAGAACCCAAGAGGAAGAGAAAUGCUCAACCGUGGAAGAAGAGCAAAUUGAUCAGCAAAGAUGAGGAAGCAAUUCCCGAUAUUGAAGACAUUUUCAGCGACAAAGAAACCCAGAAAAUCAGGGAAUCAUUAUUGGACUGGUACGACCAUCACCAGAGAGACCUCCCUUGGAGGAGGAAACAAACAAACCCACUUCAAGUUGAAGAAGAAGAAGAGAAAGAGAAAAGGGCAUAUGGGGUUUGGGUAUCUGAAGUGAUGCUGCAACAGACUAGAGUUCAGACUGUGAUUGAUUACUACAACCGUUGGAUGCUUAAAUGGCCCACUCUUCAGCAUCUGGCCCUCUCUUCUCUUGAGGAGGUGAAUGAGAUGUGGGCAGGUUUAGGAUAUUAUAGGCGGGCACGUUUUCUGUUAGAGGGAGCUAAAAUGAUUAUUGCUAUGGGAGAUGGAUUUCCUAAUACGGUGUCUUCCUUACGGAAAGUUCCAGGAAUAGGAGACUAUACAGCUGGUGCAAUUGCCUCUAUAGCAUUCAAAGAAGUGGUGCCUGUGGUUGAUGGGAAUGUUAUAAGGGUGCUUGCUAGGUUGAAGGCAAUUUCUACAAAUCCAAAAGACUCAAUGACUAUCAAGAACUUUUGGAAACUAGCAGCUCAACUAGUUGAUCCUUGCCGUCCUGGGGAUUUCAAUCAGUCUCUUAUGGAACUCGGUGCAACUGUUUGCACUCCAUCGAACCCAAACUGCUCUUUAUGUCCUGUUUCCAGCCAAUGUCGUGCACUUUCAAUUUUCAAGCAGGAUAAGUCAGUAUUGGUUACAGAUUAUCCUACCAAGGUUGUAAAGGUGAAACAACGACAUGAAUUUUCUGCUGUUUGUGUUUUGGAGAUAUUAGGAAGCCAAGGUCCAAUUGAGGGUGAACAAUCUGAUAGUGGAUUUGCUCUUGUAAAGAGGCCAGAUGGUGGUCUGCUUGCUGGUCUAUGGGAAUUCCCUACUGUCAUGUUGGGAAAAGAAACUGAAUUAACCACAAGGAGAAAAGAAAUUAAUCACUUUCUGAAAAAAACAUUUGGACUUGACCUACAAAGGACAUGUAGCAUAGUUCUAAGAGAAGAUAUUGGAGAAUUUGUUCAUAUUUUCACUCACAUCCGUCUCAAGGUUUAUGUGGAAUUACUAGUAAUACAUCUUAAAGGUGUGCUGCCUAACCUGCUCUCUUUUCCUCAAUUUGUUACAAAAGAAGUUUACACUAAAAUGCAAAACUGUGAUAACAUAUUUACUUGUACUGUCAUUUCUAUUUUGUCGAGUCUUUUCAACAUAAUUACUGUGUUAUGAAUGGUCAGAAUAGUAAUAAUAAUGUUCAUAAUCUAUUAGUAUUAGUUUCUUGAUAAGUAUAUAGUGAUGUAUUAUUUAUAUAACAAUUUUAUAAUUGCUUUCUCCUGGCAUGAAGGUGGGAUGAGUGAGUUGUGUAAUAAGAACGGAAAAGAAGCUACGAGCUGGAAAUACAUGGAAAAGAAGGCCCUUUCAAAGUUGGGUUUGACAUCUGGAGUGAGGAAGGUAUUUAUAGUUUAGAUCACAUGAUAUGAAUUUGUUAGCAUUGAGUAGAGAUAGCUUGAUGGGCCAGUAUCCUAUCCAGUUCCCUUCAGCCUAUAGCUUUGCACUGUUACGCAAUAAGGGGUUAGAGUUGCGCCUCACUAACGAUUUAAACUUUUAGCACGGUAGUAAGUGCUCGAUUCGACAACCAGUAUCAGAACUGAAUUCAUGAAUUAGAAUCCCUGGCAAGUGCUGGGGGAUUAUUGGCAUUGAGUGGAGAUAGCUCAGUCGGUCAGCAUCUUACCUAGAUUCCUUCGGCUUAUGGCGCUUGGGCUGUUAAACUCUAAGGAGUUAGAGUUGCACCUCUGCUAAUAGUUUAAGCUUUUAGCAUAGUAAUAAGCACUCGAUCCUACAGAAUUGAUUACCAAUUGACGAUUGUUCAAGAUAAACUUUGGUGAUAAUAAAUAAUUUCAAUUCAAAUGUGAAGUAGUCUAAUUGAUGAAUUGGAAAAUAAGUGCCCUCAUUUUCUUUCUCAAAUACUAGCAAGUAAUUUCAUGUGUAAAAUAGUUUUAAUCAUCUAUGAAAUUCUCAUGCUUGAUUGAACUUUUAAGCUCUACAAUGGAUAAGGUACUUACUAGUAUUUGCAGCCUAAAACCAACUGAGGUAUCUGCAAAACUGCAGAUUUUGUAGUGUUAUGAUCUUCUCUGCAAAUUACAAAAGGCAUACGAGCAUAGCUAUCUAACUUGCUCCUACAUGCCUUAUAAAACUUCUGACAUUGUCUACUCAAUGCAGGUGUACACUAUGGUUGAGAAGUUUAAACAGAGCAGGUUAUCCACUGAUUCUGCCCAAGCCAAAAACAAUAAAAACUUGAGGAAACGAAGAUCAACCGCGACCAGUCUAAAUUAGAUCUUGUUUAAUCAUUGUACUUGAUCAAUGAAAAAGGUUUUGUAGACUCUUGUCCUGGUGCCUGCUUAUAAGCUGCAUACAACAUUGCAAAUCAACAAUUACUACUGACUUCCUGUUAUGUAAUGUAGGUUUACUCAAUUAUUUAUAAUCUAUGCCAGCAUCUUGUGCAGAUUUAUAUAAUUGAAGAUUGUUUCCAGUAAAUAUUAUGAUUUAUCAUAACCCUGCAAUUUAUCAUUUAUAUAUGAAAUUUAUAUAAAGG
rnacentral:misc_RNA from 1 species